rnacentral:rRNA from 1 species
UAGGGAAUCUUCGGCAAUGGACGGAAAGUCUGACCGGAGCAACGCCGCGUGAGUGAAGAAGGUUUUCGGAUCGUAAAACUCUGUUGGUAGAGAAGAACGUUGGUGAGAGUGGAAAGCUCAUCAAGUGACGGUAACUACCCAGAAAGGGACGGCUAACUACGUGCCAU